AACGCACAUUGCGCCCGCCAGUAUUCUGGCGGGCAUGCCUGUUCGAGCGUCAUUUCAACCAUCAAGCCCUAGGCUUGUGUUGGGGGCCUGCGGCUGCCGCAGCCCCCUAAAAGCAGUGGCGGGCUCGCUGUCAUUCCGAGCGUAGUAGUUAUAUCUCGCUCUGGGCGUGGCGGCGGGUACCUGCCGUAAAAACACUCUUUCUAAGGUUGACCUCGGAUCAGGUAGGAAUACCCGCUGAACUUAA
rnacentral:misc_RNA from 1 species